rnacentral:rRNA from 1 species
GACAGAGGGUGCAAACGUUUGUUCGGAAUUACUGGGCGUAAAGCGCGUGUAGGUGGCAAGGCAAGUCGGGUGUGAAAGCCCUGGGCUCAACCCAGGAAGUGCACUCGAUACUGCCUCGCUAGAGUCCCGGAGAGGUUGGUGGAACUCUCGGUGUAGAGGUGAAAUUCGUAGAUAUCGAGAAGAACACCGGUGGCGAAGGCGGCCAACUGGACGGUGACUGACACUGAGACGCGAAAGCGUGGGGGAGACCAAACAGG